ACUUCCCAAUCAAUUCUUUAUUGUAGCAAAUAAGGGAUAUACAUGUACAUCAUGCAUUACUGUAAACAUGUAGUAUAAAACAUUCUGAUUUGCUGCUCUUGAUGAUGUUAUUUUCUUUAAUACAUUAUUACAAUUCAUGUACAUGUAACUUCUGAAGGUUUUCAUUCUCCUGAAGACAACCAGAACACACUGAUUUGAAACUUUGAAUUUGGGUGGUCCUUUUCAUGACCAAUACUUGCCCAAGAAAGAUUCACUUAUUAUUACAAUUUACUUUUAUAAUUUGCAUACGUUUUGUUUAAUAUUUUCUUUUCAGUAUCAUUUCCCUUUUUUUGCUUUUGCUUUGUUUAUUCAUUUUAGUUUUUUGGGGGUGGCUAUUUGUGUUGUGCUUUAAAGCCGCUUAUACACAUUUCUCACCAACCUGGCAUCUGUAGAAUUGUAAUCUAUUCAUACAUUUCCUCUUUUAUUCAAAAUGGAAGCUUUAUAUCAAACCUUUCUUGGAAAGUCCUAAUUAGAUUUUACCCAUAUCCCAUAUUCAAUGUUAUCAAAAUGUAUGCAUGUCCAUGCCAUUUUUUUAAUGUGAAUAUCGCCAUUGUCAGCAUCUGUAAUACGUACAUGUAAGCCUUCAUGUAAUCGUGGUGAGUUUACUAAGUUUAUACAUGAAGAGGAUGUAGGAUCCACACAAAAUAAGAAAAUGACAUUAUUCCUUCAUAUCACAGCACUUGUAAUUUUUGGCAAUCCAAACACUUUACAUUUUGUCAGUGGAAUAGUAGAGAGGUUGUCAACUUCAUAAUGAACAAUAUUCUAAAUUUGGUAUGAAAUUGAGUACCAAAACAAAGUACCGUACUUUAAAUCCUUGUUUAAUAUGUGUAAUCUUUGAUUUUAAUCUUUCAGAUUUUCAUAAAAAUCCGUUUUCAGUCUCUCGAUCACAAUUAAAAGUUUUUUGUAGUCAUCACUAAUAUAUUUCAGAUAUAUGUUUUUUUCUUUUUCAGAUAAGCCUUUUUCAAACUCUCUUUGAAAUUACAUGUACAUUGUAGUAGUGCUGAAUCAUAAAUACUGCCUCUGUAACUUUCUGCUCAUGCGUAGUCCUUUGCAGCAUUUCAUGAAAGAAAUAAUCUGUGAUUUUCACUUACUACUUGUUAUAAGCUUCUGAAAUCCUUGCAUCUGAUUGGCUUAGAGCAAAUUUUUAAGUGAAAAUUACUGACAAGAUGCUUUCAUGAAACACUCCUGAGAUGCUCCUUGAUUUUCAUACUACCUGUAUCUACAUGUAUGUGUAUUCUAUCACUUAUUCCAUCUCUCUCCAUCUAGGACUUCAUGUUCUUUGAGGAAUCAGGAGACAAGAAAGACCAGAAGAAGGCCGGAUUCACUUCUAUCUAAUCAUCAUCAUCAUCAUUAUUAUCCAUAUGUAGAUCAUACCAAUCAAAGUAAGGACUUCAUGUUCUUUGAAGAGUCUGGUAACAAGAAUGAUCAGAACAAUGCAGGAUUCGUCAGGAACUAAAACCAAAGUUGGCUACCAAUCACUACUUACUAUCACCCUUCAAUUGGCAACACGGUCAUCUCAAACUAUGCAUCACACCAUGGAGCAAGUUGAUAUCUAAACAGUGGGAUCAUAAUAAUGUUUUGACAAAUAAAAGCUUUCUGUAUUCUUUAUAUAAUCAAUUAAAUUUGAAAUUAAUAUUUUACCAUGUUUAUAUUUGUCUCUCUUUUUUUAUUAUACAUGUAUGUAUCAUUAAAUUGAAUGUGAUCAUUAUGGAUUACUAGUAUUUUUCUAUUUUUUAAUUGGUUCAAUGGCUGAUAUCCUUUUGUCUUGCACAUCUCCUUUUUACAAACAUAAUUUUAGCUUGUAUGUUUACAUUGCCAUUUGGAUGAGAGGGUUUGAUAUUUGUAUCUCAAUCCAUGAGAUGUCUCAUACAUACUUCUUGUAGAUGAUCAGAAUUCUCACAAGAAUUAAAAUUACUGUUCACUUUUAAAACUCAUACAUAUUGUACCUAAAUGUAACUACUGGUAGGAAUAUCCUGUAUAUGGGACUAACGCGUACUGUCAAAAUCCCCUUUCACUAUAAUUAAUAUUCAUAUUGUUUUGUAUCAGUUAUACAUACAUUUACCUAAAGUCCAUUUGUUUGUGCUUUACCUGAGGCCAGUGUUCAAAUUCUGUGUGCACUUUAUCAUGAAAUAAUCAUAUAAGGAUCAGCGUUAAAACAAAUAAUUGCUGUUGCACUCUUCUCCAUAGUCAACCAGGGGACUGUUACACUAAGAUGAGGUGUGACUUGAAAUCAUUCUUAAAUUUCUAGUUGCCUUCAGUAUUAUAAGACUUUGUUAUUCGCAUAUUAAUCUAUCAUCAAUACCGCAUCACAGCAUUUGAUUGAUCACACUUGGAAGACACGCACUACUGCAUAUUCAUCAGUGAGACGAUCAUGCGUGUGUGCGGGCGGACAUUGAGCAUGGCUUUUAAUGACACAUCUGUGAAACAGUCCCCAGUUUGUUUAAUUAAACUUUCCCCAAUUGAGCAAUGUGGUAUAGAGUUUAGACAUAUGUUUCUUGUCAUAUAUAUGAUAUUGGGGAGAUAAUAUUCAAUUCUCUGUUUAAAUUGAUCUGUGUAUAUGCGAGAUUGUUCUUUAGUGUAGUGUACAUUAUGCGAUGGCAAUAUGUAUAGCAUCUAAUAAUGUUUGUCUUGUAGUAGUUAAAUCUUAAUUUCUUUUAUAUUCAUAUGUAUCCAUGUGGGAACAUGAUUGUAUUAUUUCAUGAUUAUCACCUUUGUAAGUUUUGUCUAUAUUGUAGCACAAAGUUGAGCCGUUAUUAGAUAACAAUUAACAUGCAAAAUAACAAAUUCUCAAAAUUUGUUGUAGAAUAAAUGAUUAUGAACCCCCUCUCUAUUUAAAGACCCUCAUGUAUUAGGUCUUCCGUUUUAAUUAAGAUAUUGAUUAAUUUCUUAUGAUAUAUUUAGGUGAUUAAGGGUUUUUUUUCUUCCAAGCUUAUUUAAAUAUGAAAACUAUUCGUGAUUGGCUCCUUUAUCCUUUGGGAGAAAGGAAUUAAUAUUUCCCCCAAAAAAAUUAUCAGGUCUUUUCGUUCCUGAAAUUCAACUCUUUGCUCCAAUUUUGUGGUUUACAUAAAGGUUAGUUUUGAGGGCAUUAUUACUUAAUUGGCCAUUGAUAAUCAAGUAGAACCUUAUUUAUUUAAAAAUAAGUUUUAUUUUGUUAUUCAUUUCAUGCUGGCAGGCUGUGAUAUGAUAAUAAUAAAAUGUAUAAGUGAAUUUAAUCCAACAGGUCCAAUAGAUAAAGUGAUUUGUAUCAUGUUACACAGGCAACUUCGAACUCAACAAUUUAAUUUAUGUAUUGUAAAGGUUAAUUAAUAGAAAACUUGUGAAUUAGUGAAUAAGUGAGCAAAUAUAAAAACAUGAAGUUGAAAAAAUAAUGAAGUUGUAUCCAUGUAAUGUAUUCUGGAAUUGAUAGUUUGAGUGUAGAGAAAAUAGUGUUUCAUUGUAUGUGUAGUGCAUUAUUUUAUUUACUGUAUAAUAGUAGAUGUUGGGUAUAUUUAGCAUUAUAAUACUUGUAUGUGUCUUUCAUAUUAUAAAUAUUAUGAAAAUAAAUGUGAAUUGCCUGCAAAAUUCA